rnacentral:rRNA from 1 species
UGCCAGCCGCCGCGGUAACACGGGGGGCGCAAGCGUUAUUCGGAAUUAUUGGGCGUAAAGGGCGCGCAGGCGGUCUUGUCCGUCAGGUGUGAAAGCUCGGGGCUCAACCCCGGAAGUGCACUUGAAACAGCAAGACUUGAAUACGGUAGAGGAGAGAGGAAUUCCUGGUGUAGAGGUGAAAUUCGUAGAUAUCACGAGGAAUACCAGAGGCGUAAGCGGGUAGCUGGACAGAUACUGACACUGAGGCACGAAAGCGUGGGGAGCAAACAGGAUUAGAUA